rnacentral:ncRNA from 1 species
CAAAAGCAUGGUCCCGACUUUUAUGUCAGCUACAACUAAAAUUACACAUGCAAGUGUCCGCGCCCCCGUGAGAAUGCCCUCACUGCCUAGCGGUUUAGAGGAGCCGGUAUCAGGCACACAAAUGUAGCCUAAAACGCCUUGCUUAGCCACACCCCCAAGGGCACCCAGCAGUGAUUAACAUUAAAUAUAAGCGAAAGCUUGAUUUAGUUAUAGUUAAGAGGGUCGGUUAAACUCGUGCCAGCCGCCGCGGUUAUACGAGAGACCCCAGUUGACACUAUCGGCGUAAAGUGUGACUACAGAAAAAUAUAAAACUAAAGCCAAAACCUCUCAAAGCCGUUAUACGCAUAUCGAGACUCGUAGGUCCCUAAACGUAAGUAGCUUUAACAUAUCUGAACUCACGAAAGCUGGGAAACAAACUGGGAUUAGAUACCCCACUAUGCCCAGUCAUAAACUUUAAUGGUAACACACUCAUACCACUCGCCAGGGAACUACGAGCGCAUCGCUUAAAACCCAACGGACUUGGCGGUGCCUCACACUCCACCUAGAGGAGCCUGUUCUAUAACUGAAACUACCCGUUAAACCUCACCGUUUCUAGCCAUCAGUCUAUAUACCGCCGUCGCAAGCUCACCCUAUGAAGGAAAUAGUAGCAAGCAAGAAGGGCUUCGCCCAGAACGUCAGGUCGAGGUGUAGCAAAUGAAACGGGAAGAAAUGGGCUACAUUUUCUGAACAACAGAACAUACGAACAUAAUUAUGAAACACGUUACUUGAAGGAGGAUUUAGUAGUAAAAAGAAAAUAGAGUGUUCUUUUGAAACUGGCUCUGAGGCGCGCACACACCGCCCGUCACUCUCCACUAAACAUUUUAUCACUGACAUUCAACAAAAUAACUAAUAUAAAUAUGUCACCAACACAGCGGAGACAAGUCGUAACACGGUAAGUGUACCGGAAGGUGCACUUGGAUUAACC